ACUGCCUCUUGGCCUCUUGGCUAAAAUCAAGUGCGCGAUCUGUUCUUCUCAGUUUAAAUUUACAGAAAAAUUAUUCCUUUCCGUGUGUGUGUGUGUGUGUGUGUGUGUGUGUGUGUGUGUGUGUGUGUACAAUACACACACAUACAAACACAAACGUGUGUAGUGUGUGUGUGUGUAUUUAUU